GACGAACCGUGCGAACGUUAUUCGGAAUCACUGGGCUUAAAGGGAGCGUAGGCGGGCUAUCAAGUCUGGGGUGAAAUCCCACGGCUCAACCGUGGAACUGCCUCAGAUACUGAUGGCCUCGAGGGAGAUAGGGGCAUGCGGAACUGUAGGUGGAGCGGUGAAAUGCGUUGAUAUCUACAGGAACUCCGGUGGCGAAAGCGGCGUGCUGGAUCUCUUCUGACGCUGAGACACGAAGGCCAGGGAGGCAAACGGG
rnacentral:rRNA from 1 species